rnacentral:rRNA from 1 species
GGGUUGUGAGGUUAAGCGACUAAGCGUACACGGUGGAUGCCCUGGCAGUCAGAGGCGAUGAAGGACGUGCUAAUCUGCGAUAAGCGUCGGUAAGGUGAUAUGAACCGUUAUAACCGGCGAUUUCCGAAUGGGGAAACCCAGUGUGUUUCGACACACUAUCAUUAACUGAAUCCAUAGGUUAAUGAGGCGAACCGGGGGAACUGAAACAUCUAAGUACCCCGAGGAAAAGAAAUCAACCGAGAUUCCCCCAGUAGCGGCGAGCGAACGGGGAGCAGCCCAGAGCCUGAAUCAGUGUGUGUGUUAGUGGAAGCGUCUGGAAAGGCGCGCGAUACAGGGUGACAGCCCCGUACACAAAAAUGCACAUGCUGUGAGCUCGAUGAGUAGGGCGGGACACGUGGUAUCCUGUCUGAAUAUGGGGGGACCAUCCUCCAAGGCUAAAUACUCCUGACUGACCGAUAGUGAACCAGUACCGUGAGGGAAAGGCGAAAAGAACCCCGGCGAGGGGAGUGAAAAAGAACCUGAAACCGUGUACGUACAAGCAGUGGGAGCACGCUUAGGCGUGUGACUGCGUACCUUUUGUAUAAUGGGUCAGCGACUUAUAUUCUGUAGCAAGGUUAACCGAAUAGGGGAGCCGAAGGGAAACCGAGUCUUAACUGGGCGUUAAGUUGCAGGGUAUAGACCCGAAACCCGGUGAUCUAGCCAUGGGCAGGUUGAAGGUUGGGUAACACUAACUGGAGGACCGAACCGACUAAUGUUGAAAAAUUAGCGGAUGACUUGUGGCUGGGGGUGAAAGGCCAAUCAAACCGGGAGAUAGCUGGUUCUCCCCGAAAGCUAUUUAGGUAGCGCCUCGUGAAUUCAUCUCCGGGGGUAGAGCACUGUUUCGGCAAGGGGGUCAUCCCGACUUACCAACCCGAUGCAAACUGCGAAUACCGGAGAAUGUUAUCACGGGAGACACACGGCGGGUGCUAACGUCCGUCGUGAAGAGGGAAACAACCCAGACCGCCAGCUAAGGUCCCAAAGUCAUGGUUAAGUGGGAAACGAUGUGGGAAGGCCCAGACAGCCAGGAUGUUGGCUUAGAAGCAGCCAUCAUUUAAAGAAAGCGUAAUAGCUCACUGGUCGAGUCGGCCUGCGCGGAAGAUGUAACGGGGCUAAACCAUGCACCGAAGCUGCGGCAGCGACGCUUAUGCGUUGUUGGGUAGGGGAGCGUUCUGUAAGCCUGUGAAGGUGUACUGUGAGGUAUGCUGGAGGUAUCAGAAGUGCGAAUGCUGACAUAAGUAACGAUAAAGCGGGUGAAAAGCCCGCUCGCCGGAAGACCAAGGGUUCCUGUCCAACGUUAAUCGGGGCAGGGUGAGUCGACCCCUAAGGCGAGGCCGAAAGGCGUAGUCGAUGGGAAACAGGUUAAUAUUCCUGUACUUGGUGUUACUGCGAAGGGGGGACGGAGAAGGCUAUGUUGGCCGGGCGACGGUUGUCCCGGUUUAAGCGUGUAGGCUGGUUUUCCAGGCAAAUCCGGAAAAUCAAGGCUGAGGCGUGAUGACGAGGCACUACGGUGCUGAAGCAACAAAUGCCCUGCUUCCAGGAAAAGCCUCUAAGCAUCAGGUAACAUCAAAUCGUACCCCAAACCGACACAGGUGGUCAGGUAGAGAAUACCAAGGCGCUUGAGAGAACUCGGGUGAAGGAACUAGGCAAAAUGGUGCCGUAACUUCGGGAGAAGGCACGCUGAUAUGUAGGUGAAGUCCCUUGCGGAUGGAGCUGAAAUCAGUCGAAGAUACCAGCUGGCUGCAACUGUUUAUUAAAAACACAGCACUGUGCAAACACGAAAGUGGACGUAUACGGUGUGACGCCUGCCCGGUGCCGGAAGGUUAAUUGAUGGGGUUAGCGCAAGCGAAGCUCUUGAUCGAAGCCCCGGUAAACGGCGGCCGUAACUAUAACGGUCCUAAGGUAGCGAAAUUCCUUGUCGGGUAAGUUCCGACCUGCACGAAUGGCGUAAUGAUGGCCAGGCUGUCUCCACCCGAGACUCAGUGAAAUUGAACUCGCUGUGAAGAUGCAGUGUACCCGCGGCAAGACGGAAAGACCCCGUGAACCUUUACUAUAGCUUGACACUGAACAUUGAGCCUUGAUGUGUAGGAUAGGUGGGAGGCUU